rnacentral:sRNA from 1 species
UGUAUCUGAAGCCUGACGAGGAUGAGAACCUCCGGGGGCAAGAGGUUCGACCCGAGCGAAGCGAGAAAAUGUUGCGUCAGCAACGGCCCGCAGGGCGAGCCACGCAGUGGCGAGUCAUCCUCUAUCACUGGCAG